rnacentral:misc_RNA from 1 species
GAAGAAGGAGAAACGGAAUGAGAAUGGGUACGAUCGCCGAUAGAUAUUUCCUUUACGCGAAAAACCGUACCUAUUCAAUUGAAAACACAAAGAAAAUCGAUUUCUACCUAUCAGGAGUAAGCGAAGUUAGAAAAAAUGAGAAAAUUGAGACAAAAUAAGACGCGUAUAGUAUCGUUCGACAGUCGUAACUGCAACUCAAAUGGUAUCCUAGACGCUUGAACUUACAAUUAGCCGUAUGUAAGCCAGUAGGUUGACGAACUAUUGGUAUUCAGUCCUCCUUCAAAACGGUCUGCUAGCUAAUAUAUUGAAAUUCAUAGCACGAACGAGCCACCGCAAUCAUCAUGCGUACAAAUAUUUACGACUUAGGUAAAACAAGUCUAAUAUCAUGUUGAUGGCCGAACAGCAAUGCUCGAAAUGACAUCGUGUAAAUUUCAAAAG